rnacentral:rRNA from 1 species
GCGCGCGUAGGUGGUGAUUAAGUCAAAUGUGAAAUCCCCGAGCUUAACUUGGGAAUUGCAUUCAAUACUGGUUAGCUAGAGUAUGGGAGAGGAUGGUAGAAUUCCAUGUGUAGCGGUGAAAUGCGUAGAGAUCUGGAGGAAUACCGAUGGCGAAGGCGGCCCUCUGGACUAAUACUGACACUGAGGUGCGAAAGCAUGGGGAGCAAACAGGAUUAGAUACCCUGGUAGUCCAUGCCGUAAACGAUGUCUACUAGCCGGUGGGGGAUUUGAUCCUUUAGUGGCGCAGCUAACGCGAUAAGUAGACCGCCUGGGGAGUACGGUCGCAAGGACUAAAACUCAAAUGAAUUGACGGGGGGCCCGCACAAGCGGUGGAGCAUGUGGUUUAAUUCGAUGCAACGCGAAAGAACCUUACCUGGCCUGGACAUAGUAGAGACUUUCCAAAGAUGGAUUGGUGCCUUCGGGAAUCUACAUACAGGUGCUGCAUGGCUGUCGUCAGCUCGUGUUGUGAGAUGUUGGGUUAAGUCCCGCAACGAGCGCAACCCUUUUCCUUACUUGCCAGCAUUUCGGAUGGGAACUUUAAGGAUACUGCCAGUGACAAACUGGAGGAAGGCGGGGACGACGUCAAGUCAUCAUGGCCCUUACGGCCAGGGCUACACACGUGCUACAAUGGUCGGUACAAAGGGUUGCUACACAGCGAUGUGAUGCUAAUCUCAUAAAGCCGAUCGUAGUCCGGAUCGCAGUCUGCAACUCGACUGCGUGAAGUCGGAAUCGCUAGUAAUCGCGGAUCAGAAUGCUCGCGGUGAAUACGUUCCCGGGCCUUGUACACACCGCCCGUCACACCAUGGGAGUGUGGUUGCAACAGAAGUAGGUAGUCUAACCUCAAGGAGGACGCUUACCACUGUUGUGAUUCG